rnacentral:rRNA from 1 species
GACGAACGCUGGCGGCGUGCUUAACACAUGCAAGUCGAACGUGAUUUUUGUGGAAAUUCUUUCGGGAAUGGACAUGAAAUGAAAGUGGCGAACGGGUGAGUAACACGUGAGCAACCUACCUUACACAGGGGGAUAGCCGUUGGAAACGACGAUUAAUACCGCAUGAGACCACAGAAUCGCAUGAUAUAGGGGUCAAAGAUUUAUCGGUGUAAGAAGGGCUCGCGUCUGAUUAGCUAGUUGGAAGGGUAAAGGCCUACCAAGGCGACGAUCAGUAGCCGGUCUGAGAGGAUGAACGGCCACAUUGGAACUGAGACACGGUCCAAACUCCUACGGGAGGCAGCAGUGGGAAUAUUGCACAAUGGGGGGAACCCUGAUGCAGCGACGCCGCGUGAGCGAAGAAGGUUUUCGAAUCGUAAAGCUCUGUCCUAUGAGAAGAUAAUGACGGUAUCAUAGGAGGAAGCCCCGGCUAAAUACGUG